rnacentral:rRNA from 1 species
GAUGAACGCUAGCUACAGGCUUAACACAUGCAAGUCGAGGGGAAACGACAUCGAAAGCUUGCUUUUGAUGGGCGUCGACCGGCGCACGGGUGAGUAACGCGUAUCCAACCUGCCCAUCACUUGGGGAUAACCUUGCGAAAGUAAGACUAAUACCCAAUGAUAUCUCUGGAAGACAUCUGAAAGAGAUUAAAGAUUUAUCGGUGAUGGAUGGGGAUGCGUCUGAUUAGCUUGUUGGCGGGGUAACGGCCCACCAAGGCAACGAUCAGUAGGGGUUCUGAGGGGAAGGUCCCCCACAUUGGAACUGAGACACGGUCCAAACUCCUACGGGAGGCAGCAGUGAGGAAUAUUGGUCAAUGGGCGAGAGCCUGAACCAGCCAAGUAGCGUGCAGGAAGACGGCCCUAUGGGUUGUAAACUGCUUUUAUAAGGGAAUAAAGUGAGAGUCGUGACUCUUUUUGUAUGUACCUUAUGAAUAAGGACCGGCUAAUUCCGU